CUUCACACAGAUCCUUGAUUUUGUCGCUGAGGAAGGCGGAGUCAGAAAGAGGAGCAUCAGCCGACACCCAGAUCAGAUCGUCCUCGAACUUUGCCGGCAUCACUUCAUCCUCCUUAAGAAUGAGAAAAAAGAAAUAGAUUCUCAGAAGAGGGGGAAACCGCACCUGACCUUCUUCGGCGGAUUGCAAGGGCGCAGACUCAUGCUGCAAUAACAGCGACACCUGUCGGCUUUUACUGCGGACUGACCUGACAAAUGCUGCUGUGAAAGGACUCAUCAUCCCCCUUUACAGAGGAGGAAGGAAACUUCAAAGCACGCGCUCACAACAACUGCAGGCGUACUUUAGUUUGCAGAGUUUUAGAAGUUAAAGAGGAGCCGCCAGCUAUCAAGCUUCUCUGCGAAAUCCUGCUCCCAGAUCAGGUUCAAGAGAACGACAGCUUCUGUCCCUUC